UAGAGGAAGUAAAAGUCGUAACAAGGUCUCCGUUGGUGAACCAGCGGAGGGAUCAUUACUGAGUUUACGCUCUAUAACCCUUUGUGAACAUACCUAUAACUGUUGCUUCGGCGGGUAGGGUCUCCGUGACCCUCCCGGCCUCCCGCCCCCGGGCGGGUCGGCGCCCGCCGGAGGAUAACCAAACUCUGAUUUAACGACGUUUCUUCUGAGUGGUACAAGCAAAUAAUCAAAACUUUUAACAACGGAUCUCUUGGUUCUGGCAUCGAUGAAGAACGCAGCGAAAUGCGAUAAGUAAUGUGAAUUGCAGAAUUCAGUGAAUCAUCGAAUCUUUGAACGCACAUUGCGCCCGCCAGCAUUCUGGCGGGCAUGCCUGUUCGAGCGUCAUUUCAACCCUCAAGCUCUGCUUGGUGUUGGGGCCCUACAGCUGAUGUAGGCCCUCAAAGGUAGUGGCGGACCCUCCCGGAGCCUCCUUUGCGUAGUAACUUUACGUCUCGCACUGGGAUCCGGAGGGACUCUUGCCGUAAAACCCCCAAUUUUCCAAAGGUUGACCUCGGAUCAGGUAGGAAUACCCGCUGAACUUAAGCAUAUCAAUAANNGGAGGA
rnacentral:rRNA from 1 species